rnacentral:rRNA from 1 species
AUUGAACGCUGGCGGCAGGCCUAACACAUGCAAGUCGAACGAGUGGCGGACGGGUGAGUAAUGUCUGGGAAACUGCCCGAUGGAGGGGGAUAACUACUGGAAACGGUAGCUAAUACCGCAUACCAUCGGAUGUGCCCAGAUGGGAUUAGCUAGUAGGUUGGGUAACGGCUCCCCUAGGCGACGAUCCCUAGCUGGUCUGAGAGGAUGACCAGCCACACUGAAACUGAGACCAGGUCAAGACUCAUACGGUAGGCAGGAGUGGGGAAAAGUGCACAAUGGGCGCAAGCCUGAUGCAGACAUGCCGCGUGUAUGAAGAAGGCCUUCGGGUUGUAAAGUAAUUUCAGCGAGGAGGAGUUACUAGAAGAAGAAGCACCGGCUAACUCCGUGCCAGCAGCCGCGGUAAUUC